GAUCCUGGCUUAGGACGAACGCUGGCGGCACGCCUAACACAUGCAAGUCGAACGGAGAUAUUUGGUUACUGAGAUAUCUUAGUGGCGGACGGGUGAGUAACACGUGAGCAACCUGCCUUUGAGAGAGGGAUAGCUUCUGGAAACGGAUGGUAAUACCUCAUAACGUAUACUUAAGGCAUCUUAUGUAUACCAAAGAUUUAUCACUCAAAGAUGGGCUCGCGUCUGAUUAGAUAGUUGGUGAGGUAACGGCUCACCAAGUCGACGAUCAGUAGCCGGACUGAGAGGUUGAACGGCCACAUUGGGACUGAGACACGGCCCAGACUCCUACGGGAGGCAGCAGUGGGGAAUAUUGCACAAUGGGGGAAACCCUGAUGCAGCGAUGCCGCGUGGAGGAAGAAGGUUUUCGGAUUGUAAACUCCUGUCUUAAAGGACGAUAAUGACGGUACUUUAGGAGGAAGCUCCGGCUAACUACGUGCCAGCAGCCGC
rnacentral:rRNA from 1 species